GCACAUUCAAUUUUCGCCCUCUCCCCCGUUUUUGAGAGUGGACUUUGCGGCCCAGAGUUCAGCGUCUCAGAGGUUGACUAUAAGCAAUAUUCUUGAUGAUUCUGUUGCCUGUAAACAUGGAUUAAGAAAAGAAAUAUUGUUUAAUUAAAGGCUGAAAUUAGUUGAGGAUUCUUUCCAAACACUGUAGGCCUACAUGUUUUCACAAGUACAGUGUUUGGAAGUAAAUGUUCAUUGAAUGACCAGGCCAAAGUCACCCUUUGGCCUGGUCAUUUUCUUUUCAAAUUCGCAAGUUUAUUUACAGCAGAUAGGUACUUAUUUGUAUGACUACUUUUAAUCCCUGUUGAAAUGAAUCUAUUUUAAUUUCAGGAAUUAUAUUUUCUCAUUUCAAGAAUGCUGUGUCAGUAUAAAAGAAAGUUUGGGAGUAGAUCUUAUGUGGGUUAUACACCGGAAGCUUUACAGAGCUGUAUUAAUGCCAUUGCCAAUGAUAUGUCACAAAGAUUAGUGUGUGCUAUAUUCGGAAUUCCUCGCAGUGCAUUAAAAAAAAUCAAAGGUGAUUUUUUUGUAAUAAGCCAAAUGGUCAGACUGUUUUCAUCCAUAAUGAAGAGGAAUCUUUUGUUAGUCAUGUAGUCGUGCUAAGUGAAUUUGGGUUUCCUAUCAGUCAAAAUGAAUUAAAGUAGAUUGUUGCAGCCUACCUCACUAAAAAGGAAGAAUAGUAAAGCACUUUAAGAACAAUAUUUCUGAAUAUGAAUGGGCUAGGAGUUUUGUAACACACCAUCCAAUUUUAACUGAAAAGUUUGCUGCAAAUAUUAAAAGAGCAAGAGCUUCAGUGACACAAGAAGUACUGAGCAAAUAUAUUGAUAAUUUGAAGGAAGUUGUUAAUGGGAUACCACCAACAAACUUGUGGAACUAUGAUAAAACGAAUCUGAUGAAUGAUCCAGGGAACAAGAAAGUCUUAUGCAAAAAAGUUGUAAAUAUCCUGAAUGCAUUAGCAAUUUUGGUAAAAUAUCAACUAGCGUUAUGUUUUGUGGUAACCAGGGCUGGGGAGCUGGCUUGAAAUAGGUUAGG
rnacentral:lncRNA from 1 species